ensembl:lncRNA
CUGUCACUCUGUUAAAUUGAAUCGCUUCUAAUUUGGCUAUAUUUUCAUUGUGUGUGUGUUUUUUUCUAGGCUACACUUAAAAGUACUUCAGAUUGUCUGACAGCAGGAACUGAGAGAAGCAGUCCAAAGAUGUCCUUCACCCCUCCUUUUCGUUUUCUUGAUUUAAAAAAAAAAAAAAGUUUCUUUUUUCCUUUCGUCAAACUUGGCAGCGAAGACACUUUUCCUGUACAGGAUGUUUGCCCACUGUUUGCAGGUUAUGUGCUGCUGUAGAUAAGGACUGUGCCAUUGGAAAUUUCAUUACAAUGAAGUGCCAAACUCACUACACCAUCUAAUUGCAGAAAAGACUUUUCGGAUCCUGGUGUGCUUUCAAGUUUUGUAUAUAAGCUGUAGCUACAGAAUUGUAUUUGUGUGUGUUUUUGUUUUUUUAAAUAUCCAUUUGGUCCAAGGAAAGUUUAUACUCUUUUUGUAAUACUGUGAUGGUCUCAUGUCCUUGGUAAGUUAAACUUUUGUUUGUACUACCUGUGUUCUGCUGAACUGACGAAUCACAAAGAACCAAGUUCCCCAUUCUGCACCUCUACUGAAUGGCUUUGGACGUGUUCACAUUGCCACAUAAUGAGAACCAGUAGCCUGAUGCCAAUCUGCUGAAUUAAUGGACUUGUCACUCUUUUGGAAAGAAAAAAAAAAAGGUUAAAUGCCAGCCUUGUACAGGUUUUUCUAUUUUUUUUGUUUAUUUUGUUAUUUGCAAAUUUGUACAAACAUUUAAAUGGUUCUAAUUUCCAGAUAAAUGAUUUUUGAUGUUAUUGUUGGGACUUGAGAUCAUUUUUGGAAUAGAUAUUGAACUGUUACGUUUUCUUAUAACUAGAGUCUACUUUGUUACAUAGUCUGCUUGUAAAUUUGUGGAAUCCCAGAUAUUGGAGGCAGCAUCCAUAAUUUUCAUUUUGUAUUUCUAACUGGAUUAGUACUAAUUUUAUACGUGCUUAACUGGUUUGUACACUUUGGGAUGCUACUUGGUGAUGUUUUCUGACUAAUCUUAAAAUCAUUGUAAUUAGUACUCGCGUACUCAAUGUGUCUGGCCCUGUUUUGGCGGGACGGUGUACAGUUAUGGACAUUUUGUGUUUCACGUUUAGGAGAACUUAAUAUGUUUUUAUGUAUGUAUUUUAAAGAAAUUCCAUCUGCUUCUAUAGCCUGUGAUUCAGCACACUGCAGAACAUCGAGUCUUCUGAUGGACGCCUGUGUGCUGGUCGUCUCAGUUACUCCUGGGAGGCCUCGUAAUGUGUGUAGACCAGAAAGGGAGACAGACCCGCAUCUAAAUCAGCGCUCCUUUCCCACACUGGGGGUUGUGAUCAACUUAACCUUUUUGAGCUGAGCUUCAGCAGAAGUUUCCCCUCAUAGUUCCGUGUUGUGAUUUUGGCCGAGGGGGAGGCUGGUUUUGUAGCUCCGCCUUGAAGGAUUGUCAGCAUUCACCUGGCAUCCCUUUCCUCUCUGUCCUGUAGGUUACUUAGCACCUUGGCAAUUUAAGUGGAAGGAGACAUUUGAAAGUGGGACUUGAGUGAUUUGUUCAAUGCUUUGUGUUCACAAGUGCACGUGGCCACCAAAUGGAACAGAACUUGGUUAAAAAUAGGGGCAAUUAAUUUGAAAACCAACAAACCAGCUGUAAGUUGUAUAUUUGAAUUUAUUUUAAAAGCGUUAGCAUAAGUUAAGAAUUGGAGAAUUUCUUUAGCCUUUAGCAACAUAAACUAUAAUUCUAAUCAUUAUGUUUUAAUAUUUUCUAAUUACCUGUAACUGACAGACCAAGUUAACCGGCUUUGCGUCCCAUUUAAUCCAUCAGUACUUUCAAGUCAUGUGGAAUGCCCAAAGUCAGCACAAUAAAAGGAGCAGAGGCACAAAAAUGUUCACCUUGCCUCCUCGAGAAGGCUCUGAUCUCUGUGUACUUAGCCCAGAUCACACAUGCUUUGUCUUGCCUGUGAAUUGCGUCUCUAUUGGCCUGGUUUUUCCUCCAUGUUUAACAAGAACACAAGUGUUGCUGAUAGAUUUCCUACAGGAGGCCAGCUCUAUCGUAAGCUUCCCACUGUGACUUCGGCUAUUUUUAAAAUAUUAAACAGCCACCUCUCUAACCAUCUUCAUUGCUGGCCACUCCAAAAUAUGUCUGGUGUUAGAAAGCCUAGUUCCUCUAGCAGUGCCUCCUGCGUGUGGAAUAGAACUGGUUGGUGCCAGAGUACUCACGUUCCUAUUUCUGUGACCACGCACUACCCCCUCCUCCUCCCGUGCCGUCACACAGCGAGCCUCAGAGCCCCUUUCACCCAUUAAAGAGCUAAACCACAGCUAAAAUCACUGUUCAGAUCUUACUACUUCAUAAAGUGACUUUUGAAAAGGUGUUUCUUCCUCCUGAGUCUGUGUAAAUAUGUUUCUUUUCCUUCAAGUUUUCCCUUGUGUUGGAAUAACAUGACUCCCGGGUAGCUUUCUGGGGUACAGUGAAGUCCACUGAAAGGCACCUUGUCUACUUGGAAAACAAACAUUCUGUGACCUCUGAUAAUUCUUUUUCUGUACGAAUACUGACUUUCUGGAGUAAUUAGUGUAUCAGUUAUUGUACAUGAUUGCUUUGUGAAAUGUGCAAAUGAUAUCACCUAUGCAGCCUUGUUUGAUUUAUUUCCUCUGGUUUGUACUGUUAUUAAAAGCAUAUUGUAUUAUAGAGCUAUUCAGAUAUUUUAAGUAUAAAGUAUUGUUUCCGUAAUAUAGACGUAUGGGAUUAUAUUUAGGUAAUAGAUGCAUUACUUGGAAAGUUCUGCUUUGACAAACUGACAAAGUCUAAACUAAUUAGCAAAUGUUGUAUCCCGGCGAGCAGUAAAUCAAUGGGACAUCCCAAGAAGAGGAGAAGGACACGUAAAAUGGAAAUGGUUCUCCAAGGGUAUGCAAUUGGACUCGUUCAACUGCUGGAUAUAUGUUACCAAUCUCCCUUACCCUAAACCCACCGCCCACCCCUUCCUUGAAAUGCUUAUAUUCAGUUCUUAAUUUAUAACUGACUUUUAAACAAGAAGUUUCUCUUGCAGUUUUAGUUUGGGAAUAUCAGUAAAAAAAUGCAAUAUGGUUUAUACAAACAAAACAGCCUGGCAUUACUCUUGGCCUCCUCUUUGAGGGUGGUGCGCGGCCCAGCAGUGUGGCCGCGUAAAUCCUGUCAGGACGUAGUCAUGCCCCCUGCAUUUCGCUGCUCGAGGUUAGCACCAGUGCAAAUUCCAUGUUCCUGUUCCGAUACUCUGAGAAGUGCCUGAUGAUGCUGAUGUACUUACAGACACAAGAACAAUCUUUGCUAUUAUUGUAUAAAGCCAU